GUUCCCCACGGCCUAACCCUGAAAGCUGGUGCUCAUUCCAUCCCCCAGUUCUCAGCUCCCAUCGGCCCCCACACCAGAAGUCGGCGAAGUUUUCUGUGAGGAGCCAGUGGGGAAAAACUCCAGGGUGGACAGAGGAGGACGGGGUUAUACUGCCUUCAAAAUGCAAUAAUGAGAAAAAAGAAACCCUGCUAUUAACAUCGGCAGGAAACGUUGGCAGAAAAAGGACAACCCAUCCAUGCACUGUGACAUCUUCAAGUAAAUUCACAUAU